UACGGAGGGUGCAAGCGUUGUUCGGAAUUACUGGGCGUAAAGAGCACGUAGGCGGAUCUGUAAGUCGAUUGUGAAAGCCCUAGGCUUAACCUGGGAAUUGCAGUUGAAACUGCGGACCUUGAAUGCUUGAGAGGGUGGGAGAAUUCCUGGUGUAGAAGUGAAAUUCGUAGAUAUCAGGAGGAAUACCGGAGGCGAAGGCGCCUGCCUGGCAAUGCAUUGACGCUGAGGUGCGAAAGCGUGGGUAGCAAACAGG
rnacentral:rRNA from 1 species